rnacentral:rRNA from 18 species
CGUAACAAGGUCUCCGUAGGUGAACCUGCGGAGGGAUCAUU